GUAAUCGGAUUCACAUCAAUUCACAUGUGUUGGAGUGGAUUGAAGUGGAACUUGAACUAAAUUUCACCCUAAUCCACUAUAGCACAUGUGGAUUGAGGUGAAUCCGACA
rfam:Sorghum bicolor cultivar BTx623 chromosome 3, whole genome shotgun sequence.